rnacentral:rRNA from 1 species
GACGAACGCUGGCGGCGUGCCUAAUACAUGCAAGUUGAGCGCUGAAGGUUGGUACUUGUACCAACUGGAUGAGCAGCGAACGGGUGAGUAACGCGUGGGGAAUCUGCCUUUGAGCGGGGGACAACAUUUGGAAACGAAUGCUAAUACCGCAUAAAAACUUUAAACACAAGUUUUAAGUUUGAAAGAUGCAAUUGCAUCACUCAAAGAUGAUCCCGCGUUGUAUUAGCUAGUUGGUGAGGUAAAGGCUCACCAAGGCGAUGAUACAUAGCCGACCUGAGAGGGUGAUCGGCCACAUUGGGACUGAGACACGGCCCAAACUCCUACGGGAGGCAGCAGUAGGGAAUCUUCGGCAAUAGACGAAAGUCUGACCGAGCAACGCCGCGUGAGUGAAGAAGGUUUUCGGGUCGUAAAACUCUGUUGGUAGAGAAGAACGUUGGUGAGAGUGGAAAGCUCAUCAAGUGACGGUAACUACCCAGAAAGGGACGGCUAACUACGUG